GACGAACGCUGGCGGCGUGCUUAACACAUGCAAGUCGAGCGGUAAGGCCCUUUCGGGGGUACACGAGCGGCGAACGGGUGAGUAGCACGUGGGUGACCCGCCCUCAGCUCUGGGAUAAGCCUGGGAAACCGGGUCUAAUACUGGAUAUGACUCCAUGACGCAUGUUGUGGGGUGGAAAGCCUUGUGCGGCUGAGGAUGGGCCCGCGGCCUAUCAGCUUGUUGGUGGGGUGANGGCCUACCAAAGGCGACGACGGGUAGCCGGCCUGAGAGGGCGACCGGCCACACUGGGACCGAGACACGGCCCAGAC
rnacentral:rRNA from 1 species